rnacentral:misc_RNA from 1 species
UACGAAGGGGGCUAGCGUUGUUCGGAAUUACUGGGCGUAAAGCGCACGUAGGCGGAUUGGUCAGUUAGGGGUGAAAUCCCGAGGCUCAACCUCGGAACUGCCUUUAAUACUGCCAGUCUAGAGUCCGAGAGAGGUGAGUGGAAUUCCUAGUGUAGAGGUGGAAUUCGUAGAUAUUAGGAAGAACACCAGUGGCGAAGGCGGCUCACUGGCUCGGUACUGACGCUGAAAUGCAAAAACAUGGGGAGCGAACAGG